GUCCGUCUCCUCUGGUAGGUUCCACAAUGGUACAGGCAGCAUCACGCUGCACAAUGGUUUCCAGGCAGUGAAAGAGGGUGAUUCAGCAAGCCACUCUUCUUCUAUUUUCUUUAACCUCCCCUUCACUUUUUAUUUUUAUGGGGGUGGGUGGUGCUUGCUAUAUGCUUACCUUUUUCUUUUCUUUUUUCAUUUUUACAAAUUUCCUUUUUUGUCCUCACCCCUCAAUUCCUAGGGGCUUGAGUGAGUUUAAGAUUGGGUUUUCUUGGAAAUCACCUGUCCAUCGUUAAUUUUAAACAAUCUCCAUAUCUCCAAAGAAUCUCUUCCAUGUUAGUCUGGAAUGUGGUUAAUGAAAAACAAGUAGGGAGGAUUUCUGGGGCAAACACUGCCGGAUCAGGAUCGUAGUUCUCAGGCACGGAAUGUCUCUUUUAAGCUUUUGGUUGGACAUUGCAACAAUCAUGCAGAAAGAGGCACGGAAGUGUCCAGUAGUGACAAGAAUGGAGUACAAUGCUCUAUUUGCUGCAGGACUGCUGAGUGCCUUCCUCCUACCACACAUGCAUCUAUUAUUGCACCUUCUUCUGAGGACCAAGGACUUGUGGAAAAAGUUG
rnacentral:lncRNA from 10 species